rnacentral:lncRNA from 1 species
UGAAAUAUAAAACUCUGAGAGACAAAUAUAUGCUCACAUAAAAUAAAAUUUAUUUAAUAAUAGAAGAAGACAUAAAUCAUUGAUAUCUACAGACGGACGGCUGACCGCCGAGACGAUUGGAGAAUAACAGAGACACCACCUAAUAUUUGGAUCCCGCAUUUCUUUUUUCUUUUUUUUUCUUGAAAUAAACCAAAUUAUAUGUUCCACCUUAAUUCCUAAACACUAAAUUAUGAUGGGCAUAUUGAUUUAUAUUUAUAUAUUCACCGCAUGGUGUUCAAAAUUCAAAAGGCACGGCAAACAAAAGGCGUUCGUUUAAACCAAUUUGAUAAAUUCGAUAAACGUUUUUUCUUGGAGCUUCCUCCCAAUUGAAUCGUCUCUGUCUUCUCAUUUGAGUUGAGCAUCCUCCACAUCACAUGCACGUCAUCGUACUCACAACUCCUUAUAUCAUUUUGUAGCUUUGGUAGCCCUGUUCACAUUAAUCUCAAAUCUUCAUCAAACAUAAUCAUACUUAAAUAAUAAUCACAUGUUAAUAUAUAAUUACGUAUAUUUUUUUUAUAUAAAUAAAUGCAAUAAAUUGCAUCUAGUUACGUAAAAGUUAAUUUAAUGAAGCAUGCAUGUUUUGUGUUCUAAUCUCUCAUUUCCUAAUAUCAUAUAUGUCAAAAGAAGAAAAAAAAAAACAUCAAAUGACUUACCUGAUUUGCGAAUGCCAAGGCGGGUAGUGACCCGGCUACAAAAUUUUUGAACCGGAUACUUCAUCUUUCGCGACCACCACUCCAUUGGGAUUGAACGAAUCCAAAUUAGGAUCACAAUAUCUGCUUUAAAGAAUUUAAAUUUAAAUUUGGAACCAAAAUAAGAUAAUUUAUAGAAAUUAAGAUGACGAUGAUAUGAUAAUUGCAACUAAUUAACUCACUCUUUUGUCUUAUGUGGACCUCUCUCCUCUCGGAGAGAAGCUUCUUAUAAUCUUCUAUGGAUGUCCCCUAUCAACGAUUUUCUGAUUGCCUUCCUCAAACUGAAUUAACUUCUUC